rnacentral:rRNA from 1 species
UACGUAGGGCGCAAGCGUUGUCCGGAAUUACUGGGCGUAAAGCGCGUGUAGGCUGCCCUGCAAGUCGGAUGUGAAAGCCCUGGGCUCAACCUAGGAAGUGCAUUCGAAACUGCAGGGCUGGAGUCCUGGAGAGGAAGGCGGAAUUCUCGGUGUAGAGGUGAAAUUCGUAGAUAUCGAGAGGAACACCGGUGGCGAAGGCGGCCUUCUGGACAGUGACUGACGCUGAGACGCGAAAGCGUGGGGAUCAAACAGG